UUAAGUGUCCAUGCUCAUGUUUAGAAACAAAUUCUCCUCUUUAAAACAACAUAAACUCAUUUAUUUUUUCACAUACCACUUAAGUUAAAACUUAAUUCAAAGUUCAAAAAUCCCACAGUUUCUACAACAUUAUGCAAUCAGGACAGCAUUGGAAAAAUACAUCAUUAUAACAAAAAAAGAAAAUGCAGAACCAAUGGACAUGAG
rnacentral:lncRNA from 1 species